UACAACUUUUACAUAGCUCCCUCUUUUUGAGCUAUAUGCCAUGACAGAAACUGAGAAGGAAAAGAAAGAUUCAAGAAUGACUGUUUCUCAGUAGUUCAAUAUUUUUCUCUACUAGUGGAUGAUGCCAGUACUGCCUGAAGAGAUAGAAACUCAGUCUUUCAACAACUCUCAGAGAUGAGGAAAGUGAAAACCAGAAAAAGUGAAUAUCUCCCUAGAUUAUGCUAUGCAUUCCGUGAUUGAGUCACAUUGUGCAACCUGCCAGGUCUGUAGCACAUGAUUCCAUCGACUGUGUAUAGAUGCCUUCUUAGGAACUACCCUUCUUACCUGAAAUUCAUGCCUUGAAAUUGCUAAACUUAAAGAUUGCCUCCCACAUGAGGUCCUUCUUGAUCCCUACCUUCAAGUAUCUAAAUUUGUAGCUUCAUCACUUUGUUCCCUUACCCCAAAAUACUUUGAUGCUAUCAAGGUUCCUAGUAUGGAGUAAUCAUUUAAUAAAUGCUCAUUGAUUACCACACUGUAAUUGGAGAUCACUGACUUGGUCAAUGUGUGCAACUAUAGCUUUGACUUUCACCUUCCAAUGGGAACAGCUACAGAAACUGAGGCAAGCAGACAUGAAAUGACCUGCCUAGAUUCACAUAACUAAUAAAUGUCUGAAGCCAAAUAUGA